rnacentral:rRNA from 1 species
UGCCAGCAUCCGCGGUACUACUGAUUGUGCAAUCGUUAAUCGGAAUUACUGGGCGUAAAGCGCGCGUAGGCGGCGCGGUAAGUCAGAUGUGAAAGCCCCGGGCUUAACCUGGGAAUGGCAUUUGAUACUGUCGUGCUAGAGUGUGGUAGAGGAAGGCGGAAUUCCCGGUGUAGCGGUGAAAUGCGUAGAUAUCGGGAAGAACACCGAUGGCGAAGGCAGCCUUCUGGGCCAACACUGACGCUGAGGCGCGAAAGCGUGGGGAGCGAACAGGAUUAGAUA